rnacentral:rRNA from 1 species
AGAGUUUGAUCCUGGCUCAGGACGAACGCUGGCGGCGUGCUUAACACAUGCAAGUCGAACGGAAAGGCCCUUCGGGGUACUCGAGUGGCGAACGGGUGAGUAACACGUGGGUGAUCUGCCCUGCACUUUGGGAUAAGCCUGGGAAACUGGGUCUAAUACCGAAUAUGACCACGCUCUUCAUGGGGUGUGGUGGAAAGCUUUUGCGGUGUGGGAUGGGCCCGCGGCCUAUCAGCUUGUUGGUGGGGUAAUGGCCUACCAAGGCGACGACGGGUAGCCGGCCUGAGAGGGUGACCGGCCACACUGGGACUGAGAUACGGCCCAGACUCCUACGGGAGGCAGCAGUGGGGAAUAUUGCACAAUGGGCGCAAGCCUGAUGCAGCGACGCCGCGUGAGGGAUGACGGCCUUCGGGUUGUAAACCUCUUUCACCAGGGACGAAGCGCAAGUGACGGUACCUGGAGAAGAAGCACCGGCCAACUACGUGCCAGCAGCCGCGGUAAUACGUAGGGUGCGAGCGUUGUCCGGAAUUACUGGGCGUAAAGAGCUCGUAGGUGGUUUGUCGCGUUGUUCGUGAAAACUCACAGCUUAACUGUGGGCGUACGGGCGAUACGGGCAGACUAGAGUACUGCAGGGGAGACUGGAAUUCCUGGUGUAGCGGUGGAAUGCGCAGAUAUCAGGAGGAACACCGGUGGCGAAGGCGGGUCUCUGGGCAGUAACUGACGCUGAGGAGCGAAAGCGUGGGGAGCGAACAGGAUUAGAUACCCUGGUAGUCCAA